rnacentral:rRNA from 1 species
CGUGUAGGCGGUCGGGUAAGUCAGAUGUGAAAGCCUUCCGCUUAACGGAAGAAGUGCAUUUGAAACUGCUCGGCUAGAGUACGGGAGAGGAGAGUGGAAUUCCCAGUGUAGAGGUGAAAUUCGUAGAUAUUGGGAGGAACACCAGUGGCGAAGGCGGCUCUCUGGUCCGAUACUGACGCUGAGACGCGAAAGCGUGGGGAGCAAACAGGAUUAGAUACCCUGGUGGUCCACGCCGUAAACGAUGGGCACUAGGUGUAGGAGGUAUUGACCCCUUCUGUGCCGAAGUUAACGCAUUAAGUGCCCCGCCUGGGGAGUACGGCCGCAAGGCUAAA